rnacentral:rRNA from 1 species
AAUGGACGAAAGUCUGACGCAGCAACGCCGCGUGAUCGAAGAAGCUUUGCGGAGUGUAAAGAUCUGUCAUAAGGGAAGAAAAUGUGUACACUAACACUAUACACGUCUGACGGUACCUUAUAAGAAAGCCCCGGCUAACUUCGUGCCAGCAGCCGCGGUAAUACGAGGGGGCAAGCGUUGUCCGGAUUUAUUGGGCGUAAAGGGCUCGUAGGUGGGCUAGUAAGUCAAAAUUGAAAUCCAAUGGCUUAACCAUUGUCACGGUUUUGAUACUGCUAGUCUUGAGUGAAAUAGAGGUAAGUGGAAUUCCUGGUGUAGCGGUGAAAUGCGUAGAUAUCAGGAGGAACGCCGAAGGAGAAGUCAGCUUACUGGAUUUAUACUGACACUGAGGAGCGAAAGCGUGGGUAGCAAACAGGAUU